AUUUGAUGACAGCUUUAUAAUGACUAUUUAUGAUGACAGCUCUAUAACACUACAUUUGAUGACAGCUUUUGAACAGAGUUACGGAGUCAAUAUACAGAAAUACAGGACCAGGAUUUAAUUCAAUAUCUCCUGAGAACUGUCCAAUAGGUUCCCUUGAUAUUGUUAAUUGGCAAUAUUGCCUCAAUUCGGUUAGUUAAUAUUUAAGAGAGCUAUAUAUGAGACAGUAAAGCACACACAAUGUUGUGGGAGAAGGGUUGUUGGGGAGAAAUGCUCCGAAUAUAUACUUUCAACUGGUCAAAGUGUCGCCCCACAGACUCACAGUUACUCUAAUUAAUGCCCUCGGGGGUCUGGGUCCCCAUUUUGGGCUGUCCUCAGGGGGUCUGGGUCCCCAUGUUGGACUCUAGUGUAAUUAAUGCCCUCAGGGGGUUUUGGUCCCCAUGUUGGGCAAUCCUUAGGGGGUUUGGGUCCCCAUGUU